rnacentral:rRNA from 1 species
CACCUAUAAUCGUUUUAAUCGAUGGGGGGACGCAGUAGGAUAGGCGAAGCGUGCGAUUGGAUUGCACGUCUAAGCAGUAAGGCUGAGUAUUAGGCAAAUCCGGUACUCGUUAAGGCUGAGCUGUGAUGGGGAGAAGACAUUGAGUCUUCGAGUCGUUGAUUUCACACUGCCGAGAAAAGCCUCUAGAUAGAAAAUAGGUGCCCGUACCGCAAACCGACACAGGUAGUCAAGAUGAGAAUUCUAAGGUGAGCGAGCGAACUCUCGUUAAGGAACUCGGCAAAAUGA